rnacentral:rRNA from 1 species
CCUACGGGGCGCUGCAGUGAGGAAUAUUGGUCAAUGGACGAGAGUCUGAACCAGCCAAGUAGCGUGAAGGAUGACUGCCCUAUGGGUUGUAAACUUCUUUUAUAUGGGAAUAAAACGUUCCACGUGUGGGAUUUUGUAUGUACCCUAUGAAUAAGGAUCGGCUAACUCCGUGCCAGCAGCCGCGGUAAUACGGAGGAUCCGAGCGUUAUCCGGAUUUAUUGGGUUUAAAGGGAGCGUAGGUGGAUUGUUAAGUCAGUUGUGAAAGUUUGCGGCUCAACCGUAAAAUUGCAGUUGAAACUGGCAGUCUUGAGUACAGUAGAGGUGGGCGGAAUUCGUGGUGUAGCGGUGAAAUGCUUAGAUAUCACGAAGAACUCCGAUUGCGAAGGCAGUUCACUGGACUGCAACUGACACUGAGGCUCGAAAGUGUGGGUAUCAAACAGGAUUAGAUACCCUGGUAGUC